CGCAUCUYUGCAACGCACCGGACCCAAGUUCCCUGGAAAGGGACGUCAGAGAGGGUGACAACCCCGUCGAGUCUGGACCGUGUUGCUCCACGAGGUGUGGUCGUCGAGUCGGGCUGUUUGGGAAUGCAGCCCUAAGUGGGAGGUAAAUUCCUUCCAAGGCUAAAUAUUGGCAAGAGACCGAUAGCGAACAAGUACCGCGAGGGAAAGAUGAAAAGGACUUUGAAAAGAGAGUUAAAAAGUGCUUGAAAUUGCUGGGAGGGAAGCGAAUGGAAGCUGCGGGUGCGCCCCGGUUGGAUGUGGAACGGCCUUCAAAAGCUGGUCCGCCGCUCAACGCGGGGCGCUGGUCAGCGUGGGCCAUCGCGGCGGGACAAGAGCGGGAUGUAGUUUCCCGCCUAUGCCGUUGCGGUGGCCGAGGAACGAAGCGCGCGGGGCUCGCCCCGUGGGACCCGUCCCAACUGCGCGCUCGGGACGCUGGCGUAUUGAGCUCUUCAUCCGACCCGUCUUGAAACACGGACCAAGGAGUCUAACAUGUAUGCGAGCCGGUGGGCGGCAAACCCAUUGAGGCGCAAGGAAACUGACAGGUGGGACCCCCCUAAAAAGGGAGCACCAUCGACCGACCGUGAUCUUCUGUGAAAGGUUCGAGUGUGAGCAUACCUGUUGGGACCCGAAAGAUGGUGAACUAUGCCUGAGCAGGGCGAAGCCAGAGGAAACUCUGGUGGAGGCUCGUAGCGAUACUGACGUGCAAAUCGUUCGUCAGACUUGGGUAUAGGGGCGAAAGACUAAUCGAACCAUCUAGUAGCUGGUUCCCUCCGAAGUUUCCCUCAGGAUAGCUGGAGCUCGUGUAAGAGUUUUAUCAGGUAAAGNNAAUCAU
rnacentral:rRNA from 1 species